rnacentral:rRNA from 1 species
GAUGAACGCUGGCGGCGUGCCUAAUACAUGCAAGUCGAGCGAACGGACGAGAAGCUUGCUUCUCUGAUGUUAGCGGCGGACGGGUGAGUAACACGUGGAUAACCUACCUAUAAGACUGGGAUAACUUCGGGAAACCGGAGCUAAUACCGGAUGAUAUUUUGAACCGCAUGGUUCAAAAGUGAAAGACGGUCUUGCUGUCACUUAUAGAUGGAUCCGCGCUGCAUUAGCUAGUUGGUAAGGUAAUGGCUUACCAAGGCAACGAUGCAUAGCCGACCUGAGAGGGUGAUCGGCCACACUGGAACUGAGACACGGUCCAGACUCCUACGGGAGGCAGCAGUAGGGAAUCUUCCGCAAUGGGCGAAAGCCUGACGGAGCAACGCCGCGUGAGUGAUGAAGUCUUCGGAUCGUAAAACUCUGUUAUUAGGGAAGAACAUAUGUGUAAGUAACUGUGCACAUCUUGACGGUACCUAAUCAGAAAGCCACGGCUAACUACGUG